rnacentral:misc_RNA from 1 species
GAUGAAGAACGUAGCGAAAUGCGAUAAGUAAUGUGAAUUGCAGAAUUCAGUGAAUCAUCGAAUCUUUGAACGCACAUUGCGCCCCCUGGUAUUCCGGGGGGCAUGCCUGUCCGAGCGUCAUUACAACCCUCAAGCUCAGCUUGGUAUUGGGCCCCGCCGCUCCGGCGGGCCCUAAAGUCAGUGGCGGUGCCGUCCGGCUCCGAGCGUAGUAAUUCUUCUCGCUCUGGAGGUCCGGUCGUGUGCUCGCCAGCAACCCCCAAUUUUUUUCAGGUUGACCUCGGAUCAGGUAGGGAUACCCGCUGAACUUAAGCAUAUCAAUAAGCGGGGA